GACGUUUUUGUCUAUAAAUGAGAAAAAUAAAGUACUAUUGAUCUUUUGAGAAACAUAAUUCUUUUUUUUUUUUUUUUGGCUAAGAAACAAAUCUUUUGAGAAACAUAAUGAUAAUUCGAAAUGAAAAAUAGAUACGAACAAUUAAGUGGAAAAUUUAAUUUGUGAGUGCAUUUCAAUUCAGUUUAUGGGGGCAUAAGCUUAAAUGAUGGGUGUAAUUUUAAGAGUCUUUUCUCUUAAUCAACCAGCAUGAAUAAUAUUGCCAAAUUGUUAAUACUUAUAGUUUACCAAACAUGUGCCUAACUACAUUUUUGUCUAAUUGAUUAUUUAAAAGGAUGGAGCUAGUAUUAGGCAAGUGGGGGCAGUUGCUCUCGCUUGAUUAAAACAGCCGAUAAAUUGCAUUCAUUAUUUAAGUCUCUAUCCACGUGAAUCUAAAAAUUCUAUUAAAAAACUUCUAUUUUUUUAACGAUAAUUUAAAAAGACUACCAAGAAAUUUCUUUUCCAAAGGCAUAUUUACCUGAACGAAGACUUGUUGAGAAGGACAAGGUUUAGCUACUCCAAUGCAGAAUAUAAAACACAAGAGGCUAGACUUAACAAUAUAUCCUCAAUACCAAUGAUAAUUACAAAAUCAUUUUCAGAGACCUUGUUAACUUACAUUAUAAUGUAACUUAACACCACCUCAUUUUCUGAGAAGACUAUUGACUUGAAUGAAGAAUCUGUUGUUGACUCAAGACUAUAGACCUGAAUGAAUUCUCGAUCUUUCUUGUGCAUGAAUUACCGCCUCAAUAAUUCAAUUUCAACCCUCUGAUUGUUUUGCCUACUGACCAUCACAAAAGGGUCCUCUGAAUUGACAAGUUGCAGUAUUUUGAAUUACAAGUCUCCUGUCUUCACUUCCCCAUUCAGACAUUUGAUCGAACACCAAGCUAAAUUCUUCAAACACCCUGCUAAUCUUAACUCUUAAAAUGUUCUGAUUGAAUUUUAAAUGGCAGUAAAUUUUUCACUGUAGUUAAUUACAAGUUACUAAUUAAGUAUUUCCAUAUUAGUUAAUUGUAUGAAAAUAAUCGAUGAACUUAUCCUCCUCUGGAAUUAUGAAUCUAGAUUGUACUCUUAUAGGUAUCGGAAAUAAUCAAAAGCCACAGAGCAAGAAGAAAGUCAUUGAAGCCCUUGGAUUGGAUUGCUGCUAUUGCAUAUUAAGCUCCUGCUGCAGCAGCUAGUGCUAUUUUUUAAAUCUACUCAAUUGGUCAAGAAAGUUUUUCGGAUGCUUCUAAAAAUAUUUAUAUGUAUAAUAUCUUUGACUUAAGAUUGUACUCCAAGCUGAGAACCAAGACACAGUUAAACAAAAAAGUUUUCUUUCUGUGUUAGUAUUUAUAAAUUCAGACCUUGACACACUAGACUAAAUCUCUAACUUUCAUACAAACUACAAAAGAUAAGUCCAUGCAAUUGCGUCACACAAUCCAUAAGUAUGUCAUCACAAAAACCUGUAGAGAAAUUGGAUUAUUAAUUUUCAACAGAGAGCAUCUGAAUUUUUGCAGCUUUUACAGCAUCGAGAUUCAGGACAAAACUAGAUAACAAAUACGCAAUAGGCAAGUGGUGAAGAAAUAGAGCGAAGACACCAGGAAAAGGCAAGUUUAAGUUCGAUAAGCUCCAGAUGCUCAACUGCAAAAUAACAGAGAUAUUGCAGGUUUAUAUAAUAGGAAAGAUGACACAGAAGAAGCAUGGACAAACUCACAGCUCUUUUGAAAGCCAAAACUCCAGCAUUGGCUUGCAGCCACACUCAGUCUCGUCCUGAAAUCAGAGUCAAUUUUGAUGACAUGAAGCCUUAUAAACAUAGUUAGAGAACAUUAAACUUUGUUCAUAUUGAAAAAUGGUUAACUCUUCCAUUUCUUGUCCACAUAAACCUUAAAGGCAGACACAAGGUCGCUUCUAGAACCUUUGACAGCAGCCACUAUACUAAAGAUGAUUCAAAACAAAAAUAUCAUAUUCACAAAAAUAAGAUAUACAGGAACAAGGAACUCUUACGUUCUAUUGAUCAAACACCAUCUAUUCCACCUGAUUACAUUCUCAAGAGGAAUUGAAAAAAUGUUUUGGAUAGGAAAGUUUGUUGGAUGCAUGCAAGUUUAUUUGCCACAGAGCUUCCAUUAUGGAGCAGUCUUCUUUCAAUAUCUCAGGCCAUGCAAAAGGGACAUAGCAUGUUAAUUCAAGUUGGACAAAAAGCAUGUGGUUCUUACAAAUGUGAUAUGUGAAUAAUGUGCGACUAAAACAAGUACAUCAAUGUAGUUCUGAGUCCUUUACAGUCAUAACCUGAAGUCUUUCGGGAUCAUCUCCGAUACUCUAUAUCUUAAGUUAACCAUUUUCUGUAUCAUUUUACAAUUAUACAACAAAGAUUAUCAGUCACUCCUUAUACCACCGAGGUAGAUACAAAUAAAGCAAUGAAAUAACUUUUACAACAACCUUCUCAGAUUCAAGUUUGUACCCACUAAUCCUUUAAAUUAUGGUCUUUCUUUUUCUUGAUUACUCUACUUAUCUCACAAUCAUCUUAUCCAAGAAUUGUCAUAGGUAGUGACCAAAACCUAACUUUGGGCUGGCUUUACUUCAGAUUUUUAGCUCCCAUAUCAUUAACUGACAACACUAAUUUUGAUGAAUCACAAGGAAGCCAUUUGGACUUCAUGCUCUCGCUCUCAAAGAGACAAAGGUCCCAAUUCUCAAAUUCCAAAUAGUUGGGCACACCAGAAAACCCAAUUAUGUUUGCAUUGCCUCAUAGAUGUCAGGUGAACCCAAAUUCUAAAUAACUACAAAUGAAAUUUGAUCUGGUUCUGAGUUAAUUCAACAAUGAAUCAAUACAAUACAGUAGUAAAAUAUUUCAUUUAUGAAUGAAACUACAGGAUUUUCAUGACGUUUAAAAAUAAUAGUACGAUAGGAUCCAACCAACAUAAACAAGCGGCUAACCUGUUAUGAAUCUCUCACAAAAACGUGGAGCUCUUAUAAGUAUUUCAAGAUGUUUUCUCCAUCAGUUUAUUGGCGGCAGAAUGUUUGACUUGGCUGCCAUACACCUGUCCAUGACCUUUCCCUGCAGUAUGAAAUGGACUUCUCCAAAUGGAACAUGAUGUCCAGCUCACACUACAUAUUAAGUAAUUAAACAAGAAACUAUAUCAACUUUCUUGGAAUUGCAAAACAAUCGGGACCCAAAUUUUAAAAAAAAAUCAACAAGCUCUGUAUUUUCAAGAUGAGUCUGAAAUUUAUUGAUCUAUAUCACGAGAGAUCUUACCACAAUUCCAAAUCCACAGUCCGCGGCUUCAAAUAACAAGUACAUGAACUCCAAAUUAGCAAGCUCAUUGUGCAACAAGAAAGAAGUAAUGUUAACCAAUCAUUUACUAUUAAACACUGUUGAUAAUCACCCCCAAAAUCCCAGGGAACAAUUCAUACCCAAAAAGCAUAACAAAGUAAAAAUGAUAUCAUCACAACACAUACACACAGAUGAAACAUUUAUGCAGCAUGUUUCUGUACAAAUACAAAAUUAAGCGAGACCCAGAAAAUAAAGAUCAAAUCUUCAGAAACCCCAUCAAGCAAAAUCAUCAAAAAGCACUCAUUGUCAAUGUCAGCCUUACAUGUCACACCACAACACGAUUUUGAUACUUGACGGUCGCCACGUUGACAAGAAUAUCGCAUCUUUGAACCCUAAUUGCAAUAUUGAAACUUCCAACGGUUGGCAUAGACUAAGAUCUCUGAAACUUCCAACGGUUAGGGAACAAUUUUUUUUUUUUUUUUUUUUAUAAUGAUUGAUCCUGCAAACGGAAUAAACUUCAAUAAAAAUAAUAGAGAUGUCGCCAAACAAUAUUUAGAGCGACAUAGUAAACAAAGCAUAAAGAGUGACAUAGUAAACAGAAGCAUAAAGCUAAAACACACAACAUAACUACAAAAAAUUAAAAUAAAUAAGCUGCAUCUGUAGAGAAUUUGUAGCUUGGAAAUUCAUUAAUGUUUCAUUACUCGAUAGAAGAAGUAAAGCCAAACUAGUCAUCGAAAAAUUUUGGAAGCUCCUGGAACAUUACUCCUUUUCCAUUUAUUGCUUGUCAUGUGUAUGAUUCAACGAAUCAUGAUAACAUAUAUGCAUACAUGGCAAGCAUUAAAUUAUUAAAGAGCAAUACUCCAGAAGCACCAAAAACCCAUCAUGUUAUGAGCGCCAUUUGACUACGGAAAGGUACAUAGUAAUAAAUAAUAAAAGACUAAAAUAUCAUUUUCAGAGAAGACUAUUGACUUGAAUGAAGACUCUGUAAUAUCAUCACAACACAUACACACAGAUGAAACAUUUAUGCAGCAUGUUUCUGUACAAAUACAAAAUUAAACGAUACCCAGAAAAUAAAGAUCAAAUCUUCAGAAACCCCAUCAAGCAAAAUCAUCAAAAAGCACUCAUUGUCAAUGUUAGCCUUACAUGUCACACCACAACAAGAUUUUGAUACUUGAGGGUCGCCGCGUUGGCAAGAAUAUCGCAUCUUUGAACCCUAAUUGCAAUAUUGAAACUUCCAACGGUUGGCGUAGACUAAGAUCUCUGAGGCGCAGGUUAGCAACAAGGAAGCACAUUCACUACGGAGAUUGUGUGCCCGUCAUGAAAGUCACAGAGCUAUCUUGAUUUAGAUUUCAACCAUCAGAAAAUGAAAGUCACUUCGCUUAUAAUUUUAUCUAGCGAAUUUCUUUUUUCUAAUUUUAAAAUAAAUUAUUGAUAAAACAGAUUUACUAAUUAAUACUUUCAAACAAAAGAAAUAACGAUAAUAAUCUCAAUUACUUUCACCGCACCUGCGCGUUAAAACAACACCCGGAAAUUCAAAAUCCAACAACAAUGGCAAGCAAACAUCACUCCGGUUAAUCAAGCUGUGGAUGCACCACGCCGUUUUUUUGCCUUGUUUGCCAAUAUCGGUUAGUCACUAGUGCUUAAAUUUUAUGCCCCAAACUCCAACUACUCAUUUUCCCGAAUAAAUUUAAUUAUGACGUAAUAAAAUAUCUAAUUUCCUAAAUAUUAAAUUGAAAUUAGAGACAUCGUAUAUAAUUCAUGCACACAUAUCAGACGGCUAUAUAAGUGCCCCCAACAGAACAUACACCGCCUUAUCCCAACACUACUUGAUUAGCAAGCGACUGAGAAAGUUUCCAAAUCCUAUAUUUUUCAGUUUUCAAAUUCUUCUCCCAUUCAUCAACCAAAACCUACCCACCAAAAAUCUUCUUAAACCCAUCUGAUUCAAUCUCGAUUUCUGAUUUCAUCGAUCGCUUUUUGAUUCUCAGAACACCAACACAAUGUCUCCUCACGUUGGAUUAAGAUUUUAUCUAACAGAACAAGAAUUGCUGGAGUUCUAUCUCCUUCACAAAAUUACCCAAAACCCUAAUCUCUACCAAGCCGGUGAUGAUAUUCCAAUGAAAGAUUGUGAUCUCUAUGGUCCUCAUGAUCCAAACUUGAUUUGAGAUUUGUACGGAAGAGACCAAUUAAUGGGGGGUCAAGCACUCUACUUCUUCACCCAGUUAAAGAAGGUGUCUGCUAAGGGUUUGAGGUUCGAUAGAAAGAUUGGCUUCGGUGCUUGCCAGGGUGAGGACAGAGCCAAGCUUAUUCUCGCUGUUAGCUCUAAAGAUCAAAUUCUAGGGUCCACGAAGAGGUUUAGGUAUGAAAGUCGUAAAAACUUGGAACAAAAUGGGAGGUGGAUUAUGCAUGAAUUCACCAUUAAUUCAGCCUUGUUGGGUGAUCAAUACUCGCAUAAAGCGCACGAUUUUGUUCUCUGCAGCGUCAAAAAGAACGAAUCGAAAAAGUGCUCGGAGAAAGCCAAUUUGGGCAGAAAGAGAUCUUCUGGUUCCAAGAGAAAGUUGAAGGAAGUAGUGACCUCCGGCAGCCACACUGAUCACGAUAAUGAGUGCUUUCAGAGCAAACGCUUAAAGGCUCAUCAAAAUUCGAUAUUGAUAGAACAAAACCACUCACCGUGUUCGAGUAGCAGUCUGAACCCAGUGGAGCACCAAGGGGAGAUCAUACAUUUGGUGCCUCAAUAUUCGACUCUCUUUGACGUUGAAGGAUAUAGGGGUAGUCUUAUCCAAAUCCUAGAAGAGGAUAAGCAUGAUGAGGGUAGUCAAACUGGUCAACAGAGGGCUGAAGCAGAGGCAGUUUGUGUUCAACAGAACCAAGCAAAUGACAUCCCAUGCUCCAGUAACAACAAUGUGCAGACUGAGGCAGUCCUGAACAAGCGACAAGAGGCUAUUGAAGAAGAGGCACUUUUGGCUCAACAAAAUAAUCCAAUUGAGUUGUCGUGCCUUGAUAACAUCUGGGACAUUGUGGAAUCCGAAGUGGAGAUUGAUUCUUUACCUGACAGACUUGUUUUUGAUGUGGACGAGCUUUUGUCUGAACUCGAUGGGGUUGCUGCCUGUAGAGUUUCUAUCGAGGGUCAAUCAAGUGCUUAAUCGAGUAAUGUAAUUGCAAGUAAUGCACUAGAGAGGAGUGGGAAAUUCUAAUCUCACUCUUGCUCUCUCUGCUUUGUCAUCUGAUUUUGUGAAAGCAAUACUUGGAUAGAGUUACUGCGGUUGAGAAACAAGUCGUCGUUCGUGGCUGCACCUGUCAAGUUACACGAUCUGCUUUUCUACGUUAUGCAAACAGUUUGUUUCUUUUUCAAUUGUAAUAUAAUCAUGUCAUAUUUCAUUUUUGAAAUGAAGUUAUGGCUCUAAUUAUAAGAUUUGUUUAAAAAAUUGAUAUUCCAUGAGUUUUAUGCUUCGCACAUAUAUCUAAAUUGAUUAGUUUCAAAAGCAGGGGCAGAUGAAUGAAUCAUUGUGAUUAUAAUAAGAUUUUGAUGAAAGUUGAGGUUUUUUUAUUGGAAGAAUCGGAAGUGGGGAUUUACUUUUUAACUACAUGAAAAUCUUGUUCCGGUUCAAGAAAAGGUUUAGGUAUGAAAGUAGUAAAAAUCUGGAACAGAAUAGGAGGUGGAUUAUGCAUGAAUUCACCAUUAAUCCAGCCUUGUUGGGUGAUCAAUGCUCGCAUAAAGCACUCGAUUUUGUUCUCUGUCGCAUGAAAAAGAACGAAUCGGAAAACAACUCAGAGAAAACUUUCGUUUCCUAUGAUUCCAUAUUUGGGCUGCAUGUGUCCCUCACUUUUGACGCAACAGAGAACAAACUUGAGUGCUUUAUGCAAGUAUUAAUCACCCAACAAGGCUGGAUUAAUGCUAAAUUCAUGCAUAAUCCACCUCCUAUUCUGUUCCAGAUUUUUACGACUUUCAUACCUAAACCUUUUCUUGAACCCUAGAAUUUGAUCAUCAGAGCCAACAGCGAGUGUCCCUCACUUUUGCAAUGGUUUUGCUUUUUAUUAGUCUUUCAGCAAAGCUUAAGCACUUCUUGUUAAAUCUAACCUCUUUCAGUUACAUAUGGCCAAAAAAUAUGGAAGGCAACUUGUGAUGAGUAACUUUAGUUCAUAUUUUCUAAUUAAUGGCUAUAUUCCUCUUUAUUUUGGUAGCUUCUUGGGAAGCAUAUCCUGAAGAAUCUUUCUUAUUUCAUUUUUAACAUUUUUAGGUACCAUCUUGAAGAAUUUUUUUCUCUCUUUUUUUCUUUUCAGUUUUAAAAUUGUUAUCCUUAAAAUCUCCAGUGGGAAAAGAAAGGAUAAACAUAUCGAGUUUUAUCUUAGUUUUGGUGCAGUGGUUUUGGAAGCUCUAAAAAGGAGGAAAGAUUCUUGAUGCAGCUAAUAAAUGAUUGAAUAUGAACUUUUACCAAACAAGAAACGGAAUACUCAUUGAUUGUUGGAUUGUGGUGUGCACUCCCAAAUCAUAACCGGAACAAGAUUUUCAUGUACUUAAAAAGUAAAUCCCCACUUCUGAUUCUUCCAACAAGAAACUUUGUUGUUUACUUUCCUUUCACAAACUAUGAACUAAAUUUACUUGUAAUUGAGUGAUAAACAAUCUUAAUAGGUUCUUGAUUGAAUUUAUAUGUUGUGUAUCUGCUAUAGCAUUUUGUUUUGGUAAAGCUUAUUUUAUUCAUUAUUUCGGCUGACCACCAAUUUAAUGAUACAAGCUAGGAAAGAGCCAGAAAAUGGCAUGUCUUAGUGGAACAUAUCAGAACAAUACUUGGUUUUAGAUUGGGUUUCUUAGAUUGAGUUUAACUUGAUUCCAAAAGGGCCAUGCUUAAUCUAAAAUUUAUGAUGAACUAGAUAUAAUGAUUCAUCUUUUAGGGUAAAUAGAACCUAAACGUGUAAUAUUGUAUCUUAUGUUGGCAUAACAAUUGGUCACUGUUAGGUUGCAUAUAGAUAUAAGACAUCUCACAUGCGACAGCUGAGGAUAUAUGAGGAUUCUACCUAGUGCUGUAGCAGAUGCUACAACAACUAAACCAAAAUUUGCAAGAAUUAGUCAAGUCCAUUAAGAGAGUUUAGUCACUCAUCUACUUUAUUCCUAUUGAUUUUAUCCUUGUGUUUUUGACGUGAAAGUUUGCUUUUUUGCAUAUUUACUUAUUCCAUUUUAUUAGAUAGUUUAUUAGUUUAAUUGUUCAAUCCACUUUCUAUUCAAGCAAAACUGUUAAGGUUGUUAUAACAAUUUCUACAACAUCAAUCCAUGUGGAGACGAUUUUAAAUACUUUUUAUUAUAUCACUUGUUGUGUACACUUGCACAUUGACACCCCAUAGCAUUUGAAUUUAAACUCAACAGAACGUCUAUUGAGACCCUUGAUCUCUCUGACAACCAUCUCUUUUCUUCUUCAGUAUACCCUUAGGAAUAUUCUCUCUGACAACCAUCUCUUUUCUUCUUCAGUAUACCCUUAGGAAUAUUCUUCAUAUUAACCUAGGCUAUAGCCAUUUGCAAGGUUCAAUUCUAGAGGCUUUUCAAAACAUGGUUUCUCUUAGAUUUCUAUCUCUCUCUUCUAAUUAACUUGAUGGUUGGAUUCCAAAAUUCUUCAGAAACAUGUGUAGUUUAAAUAUAUUAUACUUGCACCACAACUAUCUUAAUGGACAGUUCUCGGAGCUAAUUCAAAAUAUGUCCGAAGGAUGUACAACAAAUUCACUUGAGGAGUUACAUUUACAAUACAAUGGCAUCUCAGGGCCAAUACAUGAUCUUGGAGCAUUUUCAUCUCUAAAAGUAUUGUAUGGUGGAGAAAAUCGUUUAAAUGGAACUAUAAACAAAAGCCUCACUCACUUGUUCAAGCUUGAGACUUUUUCACUUGAUGGGAAUUCAUUCACAGGUGUUAUCUCUAAAACUUUCUUUUCCAAUAUGUCCAACUUGCAGGAAUUGUUCUAAGCUGACAACUCAUUGGUUUUGAAAUUGAGCCAUGAUUGGGUUUCUCCCUUUCAACUGAAAUGUUUAAGUGUCGCCUCUUGUAAGAUGGGACCUCAUUUUCUAAAACGGCUUCAAACUCAGAAUCAACUUACUUCACUUGAUAUCUCUAAUACUGGCAUCUCGGAUACUGUCCCUGAUUGUUUUUUAGAUCUAUUUAUUGAACUCUUUCUUCUAAGUCUCUCUAACAACCAUAUCAAAGGUAAGCUUCCUGAUUUUUAUUUUUUAAAAUCUAAUGAUAUUGUUAUAGAUAUCAGUUCAAAUCACUUUGAGGGACCAAUUUCACUACUUCCUUCAAAUUCUACAUUCUUGAAUCUCUCCAAAAAUAAGUUCUUAGGGUCAAUUAUGUUCUUGUAUUCUCUGAUUGAAAAUACAUGGAAUGUUUUUAUCUCUCAAGUAACUUUUUAUUUGGAGAGCUUCCCAACUGUUGUUCGCAUUUUGAUAAUCUAUUUCUUCUUAAUUUGGCAAAUAAUAGCUUCUCCAGUAAAAUUCCAAACUCGAUGGGCUUCCUACAUAAUAUUCGAACACUGAGUUUACACAAUAAUUGGUUAACCGGAGAAUUGCCUUCAUUUUAAAGAAUGGCUCAUAACUGAGAGUUUUGGAUCUUGGAAAGAAUGUAUUGUUCGGUGAGAUACCAAAAUGGAUAGGCGGAAGUCUUCAAAUUUGAUUAUCUUAAGCUUGAAAUCUAACAAUUUUCAUGGAAAUAUACCUUUUCAGUUAUGCCAUCUGGCAAUCAUUUAGAUCUUGGAUCUCUCUUUUAACAAUAUAUCCGGAAACAUACCAAAGUGUUUCAGUAAUUUUUCAGCCAUGAGCCACGAAAACAAAUUCCAAUCCCAUCAUUGGGUUGGCCUACAAUAUCUGGGUUCUCCUUCGAUAUGUAUAUCAGUAAAGAUAUUUGGACAAUGUUAUGUUGACAUAGAAAGAAUGUGAACAUGAGUGCAAAAAUACUUUGGGAUUUGUACCUUGACCUUUCAAGAAACAAAUUAUGUGGAGUAAUUCUUGAAGAGAUUAUGGACCUUGCGGGGAUGACUGCCUUAAACCUUUCAAGAAACAAUUUAACUGUACCAAGCACUCCAAAGAUUGGUCAGUUAAAAUCAUUGGAUUUCCUGGAUUUAUAUAGAAACCACUUUUCUGGAAGCAUUCCGUCUACCCUUCCUUAGUUAAGUGGUCUUAGUGCCUUGGACUUGUCAUACAACAACUUGUCAGGAAAAAUCCCAUUAAGUACUCAGCUCCAAAACUUUAAUGCUUCAUUUGAUACUGGAAAUCUUGAACUCUGUGGCCUUCCACUUCCAAAUAAGUGUGCAGAUGAAGAAUCAACUCCAAGUCCAAGCAGGGAUGAUGAUGCAAACACUCCAGAAGAUGAGGAUGAUCAAUUUAUAACUCUCGGAUUUUACGUGAGUUUGAGUCGUGGUUCUUAGUUGGAUUCUGGGGAGUCUGCGGAACUUCAAUGCUGAAUAGGUCGUGGAGAUAUGGUUACUACAACAUCAUGACUAGUACCAAAGAUAGGCUCUAUGUGACGGCAGUUGUGAAUAUUGCCAAACCACAAACAAAGUUCAGGAACUAAUUAAACGAUAUUACUCCUUAAGUGUCAACUCUCAAGUGUGUUUUAGUCAAUAUUAUUGGCUCUCAGCCUCUCACAUAUGAUUUUAAUUUCUUAAUCCUUAAACUUGACCCUUUCCUCUUGCAAGCUUUUGUUUCUCAAAUUAAUUCUUACCAUUUUUUUUGUCAGGGUCUUACUGGGAUGGCUCGCAUUAUGUCUUUAUUAUUUAGAGUGCUCAUUUUGUAUUUGGAAUCUUUCAAAAAAUAAACUUGUGCUCUCAUGUGAUGCACAUUGUAUUGUUAAGUGUAUGCUUAAAAAAACUUGCAUGUGGCUCUCUUUAGACCAUUGUCGAUCUAUGCAAUUAUGCACUCUUGUUAAGAGUUUAAAUAUACCAAUAAUCCAUUACAACAAUAAAGACAGUCAAAUUCUGUUCUGUUAUUGAUCAAUGUUAGCUUUUUUUUUCUUUUCAUUGGGUGAAUAAAUUUAACUUUUAUUUGGCAAAUAAAAAAUAUCUCAGAUUUUUGCAUGUAUUACACCUCUCAAUUAGUAUUAACUGAAUAUUUAGAUUAGGGAAAUUAUCAUUUAGAUUAGGGAAAUUAUCUCUACACCACCUUUAUUUUUUUCAUAUGUAUAUCUAACUACUACAAAAUUUUGACGUAUUCUUUACACAAUUUAUGUUUCUAAACUUGCAUUAAUCAACCAUUUUGAGCUAAAAAUAACUAUUUUAACACUAAAUAAAUUAAAAAACUAUUUUAUUCUACAAAAUUUUUAAAAAAUUAUAAUUACAAAAAUACCCCUAAAUUCAAUAAAACAAAUAAUCUCAAAAUUCAAGAUUAUAAUUUCAAGUGAAAUUAUAAUUAUAAAAAUUAAUAUCUUGUAAUUAUAGUUUCAUUUAAUUUUUGUAAUUAAAUUAGGUAUAAGAAAGUUUACAAAAAUUGACAUGACGAGAAAAGUUUCCUAUAAUUAUUAUAAAAUUCCCUAUAAUUAGUAUUAAGAAACUUCCCUAUACAAAUUAAAUCAAAAUAUAAUUAAAAAAUUAUCAUGAUAACUUUUAAAUGAAAUUGUAAUUAUAAAAAAUUAAUAUAUUGAAUUUAGAUUUAUUUUAUUAAAUUUAGGGGUAAUCUUGUACUUAUAUUUUUUUUAUUUUUCAAAAUUUUGUGGAAUAAAAUAGCCUUUUUAAUACAUUUAGGGGUAAAUAUAGUUAUUUUUUAGUGUCAGAGUGGUUUAUUGAUAUAAACUUUAAAAAAAUGAGGUGUAAAGAACAUGUCAAAAUUUUGAUAUGGUUAGAUGUAUAUAUGCAAAAUAAAGGCAGUGCAGAGAUAAUUUUCUUUGGAUUAACUCUCUUUUUUUAAUGAUUUAUACCGCAAAUGAAAAAAACUUUGAUAAAAUAAUAGAGAUCUCAUUAAAAAAUAUUCAUUACUCAAGGUGACAUAGUAAACAUAGGCAUAUUCUAAAAAACAAAAGGAGUAAAUAUUAGUAUAAAGCUAAAACACACAACACAACUACAAAAAGAUUAAAAUAACUAGGUUGCAACGGUAGAGAAUUUGUAGCUUGGAGUUCCAUUAAUGUCUCACUACUCGAGAGAUGAAAAGUAAACCUAAACUAGUCAUCGGAAAAGUCUUAGGUGCUCCUGAAGCAUAACUCUUUUUGAGAGCCCGGCAUGGUGCCGGCUACAAUGACAACGGCAUUGUAGCCAAACCCUUAUCUUUAACGUCAAUACUUCUUUUCAAUUGAUUGGAUUGCCAGUCAAUAACACGAUCGCGUAAAUUGCGGUCCGUGACUUCCAAGAUUAAGAAAAAAUUGAUGUUUUUUUGGAUGGAAAAAUAGCUUUAUUUAAGAGUUGGUUAAGCCACGUUAUCUUCUUUCAAGAAAUUAUUUUCUAUUCACAUCAUAUAUACUUGACUUUUUGACCUAACCGACAUCCACUAGAAUUUAUUAUUAUUAUUAUUAUUAUUAUUACUGCUACUAUUAUUUUUUAUGUAAGUAACAAAAGAAGAGAAAAUUUUGUUAUGACAGAAAUUGAGAGUUUUUAUUAUUAAGAUAAUAUUAACUAGUAUGGUUAAUUUGAUCAAAUCCAAAAUUAAUUAUUGUUUAGGAAAAAGUUUUUAAGUGUUGUAGCUCUUUGUACGUAAUUCCUUAACGUUGAUACGAGCUUAGUAAUUUUUAACUAUUAAGAUAAAAUUUUGACAUACGAGAGUCGUUACUCAUUAGUCUGAAAAAAAAAUGAAUAAAUAAAAUAAAAGAAGUGGGAGAAGAAAAUUUAACCACAAAAAAAUAAGAGAAAUGAGAGGUGGUUAUUUCUAGACGGAGCUUGAUUCAAAGUCACAAAAUAAAAUAACAUAAAUGACACAACCACAAAUACUUGUACAAAUUGAGUUAGCAAGUUAUAUGACAUAAUUAGAUUGAUUGGAUAAAAUACCAUAUGUGUUAAUUAUUUUCCUAAGUAGAAUCUUGGAGAAAAGGAAAAGUAAAAACCCUUCUUCUUAGUUACUAGCUAAUAAUAUUAUGUUUACUUAUUGGGAUAUUCAUUUAUGUCGCAUCUCAUUUCUAUUGAUUAAUUAAGUUCUUAAAUUCAUAGGUUAAAAAUUAACAAUAAAAUCUAUUAAUAAUCAGUAAAUAGCAAAAAUGAAAAGAAAGGAAGAGAAAAAAAAAGCAUCAAGGACUUACAAAGUCAAUUAAAAGUUGAAAGCUGAGAGUGAAAACUCUUAGUUAUGUUAUAAAUAGCAUAGAGCCCUCCCAUAUUCGUUGCAGAGAAAGAGAGAGCGUGCAUGUGUAUUUGAUUAUAAAGAGAACAAGCGGCUCAAAAAUGGUGAUGAUGUCAGUUUGCUUCUUGUUAACAAUAAUAUUAGAAGGGUGUUGGAGUACGGAGGGAUGUUAGGGGCAUGAGAGAUCUGCUCUCUUAUUACUUAAACAUAAUUUCUUUGAUGAUCCUUUCAAUCUUGAAAACUAGAUGGAUAAUGAGAAUCAUUUAGAUUGUUGCAAGUGGGAAGGAGUUGAGUGCAACAUCUCCUCAGGCAGAGUGAAAGCACCAUAUCUUAGUAAUGGAAUAUCAUUUUGGUAUCCGACAAUGCAGCAUCUGAAUGCUUCCUUGCUUACCCUUUUUGAACAACUUGAGUCUCCUAACUUAGAAAACAACAACAUAGUCAGUUUUGUUGAGAAUGGAGGUACUUAAUAAGUUUUAUCAGUUCCAAAAUUUUGAAAAUUUUUUAAAAAGUUUAAUUUUGAAAUAAUUAACACAAGUCUAUAUGAUAUGUUUUACGAGGUCUGGAGAGGUUAUCAGGGUUAAGCAACUUGAAGUUUCUUAAUUUAGGCGGUAACCUAUUUAACAAUAGCAUCUUCUUAUCUCUAACUAGUCUUUCAUCACUAAGAACAUUGUUAUUGCGUUCUAAUAGAUUGAAAGGAAGUAUUGAUAUUAAGGGUAAUUAAGCUUCAUCUCUUUUAAGGUCUACUAGAAGCAAAAAUAAGCUUCAUUAAUUAGUCUGUCACUAGAAUCAGAUAUUUGUAAUGCCAUAUUGCUUCCUUCAUUAACUCUAUUUAAGUCUUGGCAUAUGCCAUAUACGUAAAACUGGAUUGCUUGAGCAAUUUAAAGGUGUUGGACAUGGGCCUGAAUCAAAUUGAAGAUUUUAGUGAUCGUCUAAAAGGUAAUUAAAUGAAUGUGAAGCUUGAAGUAGUUAUAUUUUGUUAAAAGUGAAUGAGGUGGCGUGUUGAGCUGGCAUCAGUGGGGACCAUCUGCUGUUAAAGUUGUUAUUAUGUAUAACAACUUAUUUCUUUUUUUUAGAUAUAUAUAAGAGGAAUUCGAGUUGGCAGAUAGGGAAACUUAGUGAUUGAUUUUGAGAGUCGCAAUGAGUGAGACAAAAAAAUCUUAGUAUGGAAGAUUUAAUCCCUAUAGUCUUAAGAAUCUUUUGUAACUCAUCUCUUUCUAAUAAAGUUUCAAAGCAAAGUUGAUUUCAACUGUGGAUGUAGGCAUCUCUCUUCCGAACCACGUUAUAUGACCUUGUUAUUUUUCUUUCUUUCUUUAGUUCUUGCUUGCUCUUGGUCCUGGUUUCAUUCAAUUUCUACUUUCUUGGUUUGGUUCUCUCUAGAAGAGGCUUUGUUUUUUUUUUAAUUAAAUUAUAACAAACUGGUAUCACAGCAUUAGUAGUUUGUUGUUCUUGGCUCUAUAAUGGCUACCACUAGAUUUGAUCUUGAAAAAUUCAAUGGGGAGAAUGAUUUCUACUUGCGGAGCCUUAAGAUGCAUGCAAUCCUCAUUCAACAUGGGCUUGAUAGUGCCGUUGAGUAAGAUGAUGAUCAAAAGGCUAAGAAAGAAAAGGAAGAAGGCUCAUCUAGUUUUACUGGAGAUAGGAAGACCAUCAACAACAAAGCAUAUAACACCAUUAUUUUGUAUCUUUUAGAUAAAGUGCUAAGAGAGGUGAUAAAAGAAAGAUCUGCAUCUGGAUUAUGGGCAAAACUUGAGGAACUACACUUGAAUAAAUCUUUAGCUAAGAGAUUGUAUACGAAGAAGAAGCUCUAUACAUUCUAAAUGAAGACAGGGACCAAUAUGAAAGAUCAUUUGGAUAAGUUUAAUAAACUGAUCUUGGAUCUUGAAAAUGCAAAUAUUGUCUUGGAAGAUGAGGACAGAGCACUUAUUCUUUUAAGUUCAUUACCAGAUUCAUAUGAACACUUUGUAGAUAUUCUGCUAUAUGGCAAACAAACACUUACUCUAAAGGAUAUCAAGAAUGCUCUAGAAUCAAAGGAUUUGAAGAAAAGAACAGAAGACAGGGAUUAGAACCAAGGUGAGGGUCUAGUUGCCAAGUUUAGACUAAAGAAGAAAGCUAAUAAAGAUAAAAAGAAUAAUAAUUAAAAGGAUAAAGCUGAUAUGAAAAAAAAAAUGUUACUUCUAUCAUAAAAAAGGACAUUACAUCAAAGAUUGUUUUGAGAAGAAGAAACUUGAAAAGCUGCAGGAGGAGUCAAAUGGUAAAACUGCUAUUGCAUCUGAAGACGAGGGAAAUACUGAUGGUACGGAUGUUCUUAUUGCUGCUAAGAAACACCCAUUGGUGAGUGGAUUCUAGACUCUAGAUGUUUUUUUUUUCAUAUAUGUCCAAAUAGAGAAUUCUUCAAGACAUUUGAGAGUAUAAAUGGUGGCAAAGUCUUUUUAGGAAACAACCUUGCUUGUAAGGUUCCAAGAAUUAGUACUAUUAGUAUCAAGAUGUUUGAUAGGGUAACUAGGGGACUGAAAUAAGGUAUGUUCAAGACUUGAAAAGAAAUUUAACUUCCCUAGGGAUGAUUGAUCAAUUGGGUUGCAGCAUUAAGGUAGAGAUUUAGUCAAUAUUGCCAGCUAUCUAAUGCACUCAUAUAUAUUGUAAGCUCAUUUUAUCAUCUAAUCAAUGCUCGGUCAACAGAAAAAGAAACUUUUUGCACAAGCUCAAUUUUAAUCUGGUCUUGACUCAUCUUAAGAUUUUUGAGCCUCCAGAAUCCAAAUUUGAUAUCCGUUUAUCUAUUUGGAGCCUCGAAUUACGUGAAAUUAAUAUUUUACCUAAUAAACACACAAAAAUACACAAAAUUAGAUAUAGUUAAGACAUAAUUAAUAAUCCCUAAUAUAUUGCAUAAACACAAAUUAUAAUAUAAGUACAAAAUAAUAUUUUUAUCGCUUGAUAAUCAAACAAUAUUUAAUACUAAUCAACAUCUUUCUCUAGUGAUAACAAAAUAUAGUCCUAUCUUAAAUCAAAUUUUGUCAAUUUAAUUUUGAAAACCCUCUUUUUGCAAAAAGUAUUACUACCAAUAUUAUAAACAACUUCCUACGAACAAAGCACACAAUUAUUUUAGCAAAAUAAACACAACACCGAAUAAAGAUAAUAAUACUUUUCAAAAAGAAAUGAGACAACUAAAUAACAAAAUAAUUAAGAGGAGAAUAUAAAGAUAAAACCUGAAAGUUUGAGAUAAAAUCAUAAAGUAACUUUGAUGGUUUUAGGUAUUAAGCAUUAACCAAUGACCAAAAAGAAGAAAAAUAAACAAUUGAUUUGUUUCUAAAAAGUUAUUACUAGUAUUAGAAAAAACAAUCGGUGACAAGCAUUUAGUUGCUGUACAAAUUAAAAACAUCAGCCCUUGAACACAAUGAUAUUUUCAUAAAGAAAUAAGACAACUAAAUAGCAAAACUAAUUAUGAAUAGGUUAGAAAGAUAAAACCUAAACAUUUGAUAUGAAAUCAAAGAUUAAGUUUGAUGAUUUGAGGCUUUAAGCAGUAACCAAUGGCUAUGAAAAGCAUAAAAAGUAAAUUGCUAUUCUUUUUUUUUUUUUAAUUAAUGCCCUUAUUGUGUCAUUGUUUAAGGAAGAAAUAUUGUUAACGGAUAAGUUCACAAAUAUAGGGUUUUGUUUUUUAAAUGGAGGUUUAAAAGGAAUAAACAAUGUUUUAGUUAAAAUUUAUUAAUUUAAUGUCACAUAGAGAUUUUAUAGGGAUUAAAACUAUUAAUUCUAAUGAGAUUUUGUAGGGAUUUCGAUAAUUUAUUUCGGUAAAGAUAAUUAUAAAGCAAUAAUAAAAUAAAAUUAAUAAAUACAGAAUUAUGAUUGAGUUUGCUACAAAUUACGAAUUUUUAUCUUUUUAUGUAUAAAAUAAUAGAUUUAACGUAACUAUGGGGCCUUAAUCUAUAAUAGGCCCUAUCAACUGCCUAAUUUGUCUAAGGGAAGAGUCACUUAUGAGUGAGAAUUUUUUGAAAUUCAGUCAUGCGUCCGAUGCCAAGCUCAGAUUACCGUUUUUCUUAUUUAUUGAUUUUGAGGUUUAAGAACUGUUUCACACUGUCUCGAUUCCUAACAGCUUCAGGGAGCAAGGGCGUUACACUCUUCGAAUCCUGAAUUUGAUCAAUAGCAAACAUGUCGUCACAUACGAUCACAUGCAAAACAGAGUUGAGAAGCCACCUGGGCAAAAUUAAAAAUAAGCCAUGGCUCAAAAUUUGGGGGGAAAAAAUAGAACUUACCGUUAUGUGAGAUAGUGUUAGCUUCUCUAAACAAAAAACAAAAAGAAAUUAUAGACACAACAAAAAGAAAUUACUGUGGAGGGUGGAGACUAAGAGAAGAGAAAGAAAGAGUGGAUUUGAUGAGGUGAAAAAAUUAGGGCGGGUUAUGCCCUAAUUUUUGUUUUCACUUAUAUAUUUUGUCUUAUUAUCCUUAAUAACUCCUAAAUUAGUCUUCAAAUUUUAUAACUUUUAAUAAAAAUUUAAUGAUAAAUAAAUGAUUUAAUUAAAUGAAUGGAUUGUAUUUGAUUCGUUUAUCAUCCAUUUAUUAAACGAAUUAUAAACAAAUAAAUGAAUAAAUAUCCUUAAACUUAGAUUCAAUUUGUUUAUUUAGCGUAUUGAAUUGAAUUCACCCAUUUAUUAAACGAAUCAAUUUGGUAUAAAGCCAAUUUGAAUCUGAUCACAGACCGGUUUUGGUUCGUUUUGAGCGCAAUGGUAGAGGAAUGGGGAGUAUAAAGCCUUUCCGGUUUCUAGCUGCCUGGAUGACAGAUAAUCGGUUUGGGGAUUUUAUGCAUGACAAUUGGCAGAGAAAUAUGCCUUAUGCUCAAGCAGCUUCUAACUUCACAAGUAAGGUAGCUACUUGGAAUAGGGAAGUUUUUGGUAAUAUUUUUAAAAGGAAAAAAGAAUUGCUGGCUCAUCUUGGCGGGGUUCAAAAAGCCUUGGAAAGGCAGCCUCUCAGUAGCCUGUAUCGUCUGGAGGUACGGUUAAAAAAGAAGUUGGAAGAAGUUCUGUCUCAAGAGGAGCUGUUAUGAUAUCAAAAAUCUCGCAGAGAGUGGAUUAAAUAUGGGGAUCGGAAUACAUCAUUUUUUCAUCAAAAAAUCAUUACAAGGAGGGCUCGUAAUCGCAUCACUGCAAUCAGGGAUGAUGGAGGUAAUUGGCUUUAUGAAGCUCAAGAUAUUAAAACCCAUGCUGUGACAUUUUUCUCUACACCAUAUAAAUCUUAACAGGAUACAUAUAAGCCGUAUCAUAUGCGAGGGUGUUUCCCUCAAAUUGACCACACCCGAUUGGCGAGUCUUGCUGUGCCGGUGGAGAAGGAAGAAAUUCAUGAGGCAGUCUGUCAGAUGAGUCCUCUCAAAGCUCCUGGAAUCGAUGGCUAUCCUGCUGGGUUUUAUCAGGCUCAGUGGCAUAUUGUUGGUGAGUCUUUUAGUUCUGGUAUACAGGAAGUCUUUAAUUCGCACAGGAUCCCCAGAGAUGUUAGUAAAACUCUCCUAGUCCUGAUCUCAAAGACUGAGCGUCCCACAUCCUUCAGGAUGUAUCGCCCUAUAAGUUUAUGCACAGUAUUUUAUAAAACAGUAACCAAGAUUAUUGUGAAUAGACUCCAAGCUUUACUCCCUGAUCUUGUUGGCCCUCAUCAGACAAGUUUUGUCCCCGACCGGCAUAUUACGGAGAAUAUCAUCAUCGCUCAAGGGGUUGUCCACUCUAUGCGACGAAAGAUGGGUAAAAAAUGUAUAAUGGCUAUUAAGAUUGAUUUAGAGAAAGCAUAUGAUAGAUUGAACUGGAAUUUUAUUCAUGAGACUUUAAGGGAGCUAGCUUUGCCAUUCGAGCUCGUCCAGUUAAUAAUGGAGUGCAUUACUUCUAAUAGGAUGAACAUUUUAUGGAAUGGGGAAUUAACGGGGGAUUUUGCCCCUAGUAGAGGUGUUCGGCAGGGUGAUCCGUUGUCUCCUUAUAUUUUUGUUCUCUGUAUCGAGAGACUGAGUCAUGGAAUCUAUCGCUCAAUCCAGCAAGAACAAUGGAAACCAAUUCGUUUAGCUCGAAUGGGUACCCCCUUAAGCCAUUUAUUUUUUUGCCGAUGACCUACUUCUUUUUGCCGAGGCUUCUAGUGCACAAGCUCUCUUAAUAAAUUCAGUCUUAGAUGAUUUUUGUUUUAGCUCUGGCGCAAAGGUGAACAAAUCCAAGACUCAAGUCUAUUUUUCUAAGAAUAUCUCCGGGGCUGUAGCUGGCCGAUUAGGGCGUGAACUGGGGUAUACAAUCACAAAAGAUUUGGGCAAUUACUUAGGCAUGCCUCUGCUGCAUCGCCGGGUUUCAAAACAGACUUAUCAGGGAAUUCUGGAUAAAAUGCAGCAAAGACUUUCGGGUUGGGCUGCCUCCCAACUGUCCUUUGCAGGGCGUAUUACUCUCACCCAAUCUGUCCUCCAAGCAAUCCCUAUAUAUGCUAUGCAGUCUACUAAUUUACCGGCUAGUAUCAAGACUAAAAUUGAUCAAGUUUGCAGAAGAUUCUUGUGGAGUGGAAAUGACGAAAUGCGUAAGAUGAGUUUAAUUAGUCGGCACACUAUAUGUCAACCGAAGCUGGCUGGUGGGCUAGGAUUUAAGAGAUUGGAGGUUAUGAAUGAAGCGUUAUUGUUAAAGGUUGCUUGGAACUUGAUCACCGAACCUGGUAAGCUUUGUGCCCAAGUACUAGCUACAAAAUACAGAGUGUCUCUCUCGGAUAUCCCGCAAUUUCUUCCCACUCGGCAUGGCUCUCAUUUGUGGAGGUCUGUGUGUCGAGUUUGGGAUCAUGCCAAGCGAGGAUUACGUUGGAAUGUUGGUAAUGGACUGAGAGUUCAAUUUUGGUGGGACUGUUGGGCCCCUUGCGGCUUUUAUUUUGAAACCAAUACCUCCUGAACUUUGUGAUUUGUAUGUGGCUAACUUUGUGACUGCAGAUGGCACCUGAAACUGGCCGAAGUUCAGCUAUCUUUUAUCCCAUAAUGCAGUGAUGCGCAUUGCUUCAGUCCAUCCCCCUUCGGCGCGGAAUGGUGCUGAUAAAGCUUACUGGGCAGCUGCAACUCAUGGAAAGUUCACAGUGAAGUCAGCAUAUGACCACUUGGCUCAGCCAUACUUGCAUGAAAGGGAUAUGAUCUGGCGCUUGGCGUGGUCGUGGAAGGGACCGCAGAGUAUAAAAACUUUCAUCUGGUUGGUGCUGCAUAAUCGUUUGAAGACGAGGGGAGAGUUAGCUGAACGACAUUUAACCAUUGAACCACAUUGUGAGAGAUGCAGGUAUGAGUUGGAGACCACGAUCCAUGUGCUUCGUGAUUGUCCUUAUUCUAGAGCAGUAUGGAUUCGACUUCUUCGGGACAAUAAUCAUCAUGAUUUUUUCAACAUUGAUCUUGCGGGGUGGAUGUCAAGAAACUUGCAAGCUUCAAACAAGUCUCCAGGUGGAAACCUUUAGCGUGUGCUGUUUGGAGUGGCUAUUUGGCGGAUUUGGUUCUGGCGAAAUCAUUUUAUUUUUACUAAGGAUUAUUGGGAUAGCAAUAGUAUUGCAAUGGAUAUCAAAGUCAGGGCUGCUGAAAUUCUACGAAGUAAUUCCUGCUCCUUUGCUGCUGGUAUAACCCGUAUCGAAAAAUGGAUUCAGUGGACUGCGCCUGUUUGGCCUUGGGUUAAAUUAAAUACAGAUGGUGCCAAGAAAUCUUCGGCGAUUGUAGGAGCUGGUGGACUAAUCCGUGACUUCAGAGGUGUUUGGCAAGUAGGCUACAGUGCAAAUUUAGGUGUUUGCUCGGUGACUUCAGCUGAGCUCUGGGGAUUAUUUCAUGGACUAUCUAUCGCUUGGCAAUAUGGGUUCCGCAGAGUGUACGUGGAAGUAGACAGCAUGUGUGUUAUGAGGUUAAUCUCCAAUCCAAAUCCUCCUAUCAAUGAGCAUUUUACUCUCAUUCAGGAAAUCCAAGCACUCCUCCGGCGUGAUUGGCUGACCAAAGUGGAGCAUAUCUAUCGAGAAGCCAAUGAAGCAGCUGAUUUCCUGGCUUUGUACAGUUUUUCCUUCUCCUUGGGUUUACAUUGUUUUCAAUCUAUUCCUCCAAAUAUGCUUUGCAUAUUGACUAACGAUGUUCAUGGGGUUGCACACUCCCGUUUAGUGUUGCCUUAGCUCUCUUAUGAGCCCUUUAAUGAUAAAAAAAAAAAUUAAACGAAUCAAUUUUUUAAAUCGAAACCCAUUUAAUUCGCAUAGAAUCAAAUUGAAUAAAACGAAUCUUGACCAAGAUUGCCACUCCUAAUUUUGGUACUUUCCAUUUUUAAUUAGAGUCAUGUAUUUUAUUUACAAUAUAAUUCUAUUUACAACAUAAUUGUGAUUUAGUUUACCUUUUAAGGUAACAUGGGGAAGUAUGUUUACCCUAUUAUAAAUAGGGAGGUAUUGUCAUUGUCAGCUCGAUUUCAAUUAUUUAAUAAAAUCUCUCUUUUAUAAUUCUUUUUGGAAUUAUCUAUCAAAAUCUUUCUUGUAGGAUCGCUUGAAUUAGAAUGAGAUCUAAUUACGCUUCCAUUAGAGCAUAACUUGAUUGCAUUGGUUUAGUCUGGUAUUAUAACGAUAUCUAGUAUUUAUUUACCCUAACAAACCACUUCUGCUACCCUGCUCCAUUACAAGAACUUGAAGGAUCACAAUUGGCCAUGUCAAGGCGCUUAAUCUCAAAGGUCCAACGGCCAAAAUGCUCAAAGGAAAGUCUCGAAAGGUACAAUUAGUCCUGCUAUGCUUGAAUUUCAUGAUUUAAUGCAUUUGGACCUCAGUAACAAUCACUUCGGUGGAAGUCCAAUUUAUGAAUUCGUUGGUUCCCUCUGCAAAUUUGAGGUACCUCAAUCUCUCUUGUGGUACACCUUCAAUCUCUCAUCAAGCUGAAGACAGUUAAAUUCUACUCUGCUAUUGAUCAAUGUUAGCAGUCUUCUUUAUUGGGUGAAUAAAUUUAACUGGCAAGCUAUUUGGCAAAUAUAAACAGAUUAAUGGAUUUUUGCAUGCCUUAUGUCCCUUUCUUGGUGUUGACUGAUUAUUAAGAUUAACCCGCAAACGGAGCAAACUUCAAAAAAUAAAAGAGAUCUUGCUAAAAUUAUUCAAAACGACGUAGUGGACAUAUGCAUAAAGCUAAAACACACAACUACAUAAAAAUUAAAAAAAAUUAAGCUGCAUCUGUAGCUUGGAAAUCCAUUUGCGCGUCUCACCACGCGAGAGAAGAAAAGUAAACCCAAACUAGCUAUCAAGUGAGUACCAACGUUUGAUUCUACAAUGGUACAUAGUAAUAACAGAAAAAGAGAAGAGAAAAAAAAUCUAUUAAAAUUAGUUAAGUAAUAUUUAAUCUAUUCCAUAAUCUUACAAACAAAGUACGUGAUAGGUUCGUAUAUAAUCUGAUUCAAGAUCAUUCGUAAUAAAAUGUGCAUGAAGAGAUAGAACUAUACAAGAAUUCGCUCUUAUUGUAUUCGAAUUGGUUAUUCGUAAUUUGUUUCUUUUACUUUUUAUUUUAUAAUUUUUUUUAUAGAAUAUGGUACUUUAGGUUGAAAUUUUGAAUUUCAAAUAUCUUAUCGUUUUUUAUUUUAUUUAUAUAUUAAUUCAAUUUUUUAAAAAGGAAAUAAAUUCUAAAAUGAGCCAUUGUAUUAAAAGGCUUGGCUUUAUAAAAAUAGCUCUUACAUUAUUUUUCAAAACACUAAAGGCGAGGAAAAAAAAAAAGACUAAACGCAAAAAUGGUUUUAGAAAGGCAAGAGGAGAAGAUUUUUAUGGUGUUUUUCAAUAAAAAGAGUUUUUGAGUUUUGAUACAUGGUCUUGAAGGAAGGAGAUUAAAACCAAUAUGUAAUUAUAAUCUUUUGAAAUUUUGAUUUUAUUCAAGAUUUUAUGUGAUAGAUUGAAUGGCUUUGUGUGUAAUAUCAAUGAAAUUGUUAAAGCAUGAUGUAUCAUUGACUCCAUGUUGUAAUUGAAUGGAAGUUGUGUUUUUGUAUUAUUCUGAAAAAUUAUGAACAGUGUAGAUUGAAUGCUAAAUAACUGCUGCUUUCAUUGAGUCUUAUGCAUGAAACUUUAUAAUUUAUUAAACUAGAUAUCAUUAGCUUUCUAUUGACAUGAUUAUUGUUUAAAAGCUCAUGGUAUAAUAAUUGUAAUAAUUUUUUUGAAUUUGGAAUACUGGUGCUGGAAAAUGCCAAUUUUUAGCAGCAGUUCUCAAUUCCUAACUUUAUUUCGUAACUCAAAUUACUUCUGAAAAUUAUGGCAACUUCUAUUAUGUUACAUAUGUAUGUCUAAUUUCUGUAUAUGUUUCGUAAUUUUUAGGUUUAUAGAAAAAUCAUUAAAAAUCAUAGAGUUGGGAUGCUGUAAUCCUGGAAACUGUUCUCCAAAAUUACUAAGACUGAUAUUGAAGUCACUUUGGAUUAUUGUUUCAUCACUAAAUGCCUUAUAAAUUUUAAUUUUGAUUUCCUAUUGUUUUCACUAUUGAUAAAACUUGAAUUACAAUUUUGUAACAUGUGUACUUAAAGUUAUGAAUUUUUAAAUCAACAGACCUCUGUUUAUAUCACUACUAUUUUUUGACAUUUUUGUGAAAAAUUAUUCAGGGAUGUUUUUGAACUCUGAUUAACUUUAUGAUGUUUUAUAUUGAAUGCCAUGCAUGUUCAUAGUAGUUCCUUUUAAUAUUUGUGAUUUUCCAACAGAAAAUAGCUCGUAUAGGAUGGUUGGGUGUAGUUUAGUGAAUGGAUAUACUUAAGUGAGUGCUAAUGGUUUAAAGAUGCUUGACUCUCCCAUCAAGGUUAGAAUUGAUAAUGUUAUUGAUGAGAAUCUUGUCUUGAUAAUUAUAGGCUAAUCAUGAGCUAGUAUAAUUGAGGUUAUUGAUUGAUUGCUUCAGAUCGAAGUAAGAGAAUUAAUGCAAAAAGUUUAAUAUCUACAUACAGAAAGAAUAUUGUUUAUAUUGAGUUAGCAUUUUAUGGUAUUAUUGCCACUAUAUAUUUUCUAAAAUUAGAUAUAUAUUAAUUACAAUAUAUUUUAGUCAAAUGAACCUCUUUUAAAAUUGUACUUUUCAAAAAAAAAUUUCAAGUGACUUUGAAAAAUAUUUGAUUUUCCAAUAAUUUAUUUACCUAAAAAUACUUGAAAAGCUUUGCCAAAUAAAUGUCUUACAACAUUAUUGAUAGAUUAUUGAAUGAUUGAUAUUGAAAGAUUAAAAAUUACUUUUAAGGUUUUGGCUCAUUGUCCGUAGUUAUUAUUAUUGACACGACUGAACAACUAGCUGUAUUACCAUUACAAUUAUUAUGGGGUACAAUACCUUGAUUGAUUAAUUGGCUGGAUCAUCGGGAUUAUAGGUGAUAUAUUAAUUGUUGGGCCACAAGAUUAUAGGUGAUAUAUUGAUUAGCCGAGUCAUCGAGAGCGCAGGUGACACUAUGUGACAUGAGCAAUUGAAUAAAGGAAAUAUUUUAUUGUUAAAUGAUUUCUUAGAUGAUUAAAUAUUGAAAAUGAUUAUUACAUGAUGACUUAACUUAAAAUGAAUUUUAUCAUACUCAUGCAAUAGAUUGUAAAAUCAAUAUUGUUUUCCAAUUUAUGGUUCCUUAUAAUGAUUAUUAUGUGUUUUAUCGUUAUUGGUAACCUCAUACAUGAAUUUACUUACCAAGUUGAUGGCUCACCCCUCGUCUCUAACAUUUUGCAAGUUAAUUUUAGAGAUGUGGGGUUUUUGGUUUAGAGAAGAGGAUUUUUUAACUAACACAUUUUCGUUGAUGAAUAAAUUGUCAUUAUUUUGGUUAUUGUUCAGAGUUGAAUUUGUUUUGGAUGAUUAUUGUUAUAUUUAUUAUUUUAGAGAUUUUAUUUUGACAGUGGACAAUAUUGAUUUUUCUGAAAAUAUUAAUAAGAUUAAUAUCACAAGGUUUCAUUCCCAAUUCCUCUUGUAAAUUAUAGGGUGAAUUUGGGUUAUUGCAUUAUUAAUUAAAUUUCUACAUAGAUGACAUUACAAAGAUGUUGAUCAAAGACUAAAAUAUUUCAAAGUAAUGUUGUUAGGGUGCACCAAAUUUAAAACCUUACUACUAGUAUAAAUAAUUAGUACAGAGCGAGUAAGGAUCGAUCCCACAAAGACUAUGCUAGUUGUAUUUAUUAUCAACUCUAAAGUAGAACUUAAAAUAAAAUAAUAAUAGGAAUAAUAAUAUAAAUUAAUCUAACUAAAGAAAAUGCCAACUAAAAAUAGAGAAAAGGGGGUUUUUGAAAUUUUAACUAAAUAGCAAGAAAUAAAGAAAUUAAAACUACGAAAACAAUAAUUUAAUAAAAACUCUAAUUAAAGGAGAAAGAAAUAACAAUGAGAAAAACUUUGGUUAAAAGAUCAUUCGCCACCACCAAACAUGCACAUAAUAUAUCAAUUAUAUCAUUAAUUUAUAUUGAAACUAUCAACCGUAGACAACAAUAAGCUCUGUUAGUCUCAAUCUUUCCUUAGUAUGUCGUUAGGCAAAACAAGCUCUUCAUCUAAUCUCUAACUAUUAAAUAAUUUAAAAUAAGCUCUUUAAAUUUAAGAUAAUGGAAGCAUUAAGUAGAGAAAGAUAUUAGGUUGAUUUAGGCAAUAAACAAACAAGCUCAGAUUAUUUAACCUAGGUUAUGUUCUCCAAUCGAAAUCACUGAUUCCAACCUACUACUAAUGAUUAAAAUAUCAAGACAAUUAUGGAUUAAGAAUUUUAAUCUAGCAAUAGAAUUUAUUCAAGUUCUAUCUAAUUGGCCACUCAAAUAAGACAGGAAUGAAAUCAUAAACAUUAAUUAUAGAAGAACAUAAAUAAUCUCAAUUAAAUAAAUUGAAUGAUAGAAAUUAAAAAAUUCAAUUGCAUAGCAUGUUUAGGGUUUUGAAUUCACCCUCAACCAAAUAAAAAAUCUAGCCUAACAUAAUUAAAUUGAGAAUAAAAAAGUUAAUAAAACCAGACAUAGAGAUUAAUUCAAACAACUUUCUCCUCUAUUUUUUCUCUUCUACUUUUGGGCUGCAAAUUGUUUUUGUAUGUGUAGCUGCCGAUCCUCCUAUUCUCCUCUAAUUCUGCCGCAAGUCUGGCUUUUAUAGUAGCUUUUAUUGUGCGCCUUAAAUCCUCGCAUGGAAAGGAUUAAAAACAAAAGCCAAGCCGCCACUUUUUGUUCACGCAUGCACAUAACUUGUAGAAUUAAUUGGCCAAUGAAUAUUGUUAAAGCCAAAGCCCAUCACGUGCUUGCCAUUUAAAGCCAUGCCAAAAUAUUUGCUUCCUCAAUUAAUCACAAUAUAUGUUUCCCAUGUGAUUGCAUGCAUGUUGAUUAAUCAAAUUAAAUCUUUCUUUCAUGAUCUCUUGUGUAUUUUUAUCUCUCAAUCUUCAAUUCUUUUCCUAUUCUGAUUCUUUCAAUGAAAUUUCUUUCCUGAAUGCUCCGAUUUAAUUUCUCUUUAAUCCUAGAAUAUAUCUAAAAUAAAAAAAAUAAAAAAACUAAGAUAAAAAUUAAUACAAUAAAAUAUAAUUUUAACAAAAUAACUAAAUUAAAAAUUAACUGAAAUAACUAGAAUAUUUAAGAUCAAAACAAGAAAAAGAUGGAGAAAUUAAUAGCAAAAUAUAUGAAAAAUAUGCACUUAUCAGAAGACUAAGAGUGCGUUUGGGAGUGAGGUGCUGAAACUUUUAAGCUGCAGCUACAGUGAAGUAAAAGUUAUAGCUGUGGAGUAGAAGCUGAUGAUAUUUGAUAAAGAUGUUGUAGCUUUUAAGCUGCAGAAGCUUAUAGUGUUUGGUAAAUACAUGUGUCUAGUAUUUUCAAUUUUAAUUUCAUAAUUUUUUUAUAUAUAUAAUUUUAUAAAAAUCCCGGGACCCAUAUUAUUAAGUUAAGACACUGUGAGAAAAUUUUGAAUUUAAUAAGAAAUAAAUAGUUUUGAAAAUGUUUUUGGUAUUGGAUCCUCCUAAAAAUUUUAUUGGAGAUACCCAUGGAUGUCGAGAAUAGAUCUAUGUAAUUUUGUGUCAUUUUGAUUAUUAGAUUAAGAGUUAAAAUUCAGAGAAUCAGACUUCUACGGGUAUGAAUUAGAAAAUUAAGAUCUUGGAAUAAGUUGUUAAUAGUUAUUUCUUGUAUUUGUUUAAAGUAUUGGAGGUGUUUGAGAUUGUUAGAGGCUUAGAGGUGUGUUUAAAUAAUUGCUUUUAUCGAGAUAAGUAACUCUAUUCCUAAUGUACUGGAUAUCUAAUGUACUAGAUAUAUAUGAUAAUUUUGAUAUUUCAAUAUUAUUACAAGUACGUGUGUUUUCUUAGUUCUUCAUAACAAAAAUAAUUGAUGUGAGUGUUUUUAAAUUUGAAAAUUAUGCCAUUUUUAUGGUUUUAACAAAAUAUUAUAAAUGCCUUAACAUGUGCAAUUUAUUUUGCUAGAUAAUUAUAUUUUUGAAAUUGUCUGUAAAAUGUUAGAAUGGAAAUUGUUCUGCAAGCCUAAAUCAUUGUUAUGAUCAUUUAUGAAUCUAAUAUGAAUAUUAUGUUCACGUAUUCGAUUAAAAUUAUCUAUGAAAAUUUAUGCAGGGGCCACCUUUUGAGACUGUAUGGAGGCCAUAUCUCGAGGACUAAAGUGUCGCGUAUAGUAUAAAGUACCACGUGUAAUUUGCUACAAAGGAAAAAUAAAUUUAAAUGUUUUGGUUCAUUGUCCGUAGUCAUUUUGAUUCUGUUAUAUACUUACACACACACACACACACACACACCAGUAUUGAGUUUCUAUUCUGAUUGUGUCUAUGAUAUUCUUAUUCUCAUUCUAUUCCAGCCUGGUCAUCGAGAGUAUAGGUGACACUAUGUGACAUGAGCUAAUCUUUUGUGUCCUGUAUUUAUAUAUUAAGUGAUUUGUUUCUAUGAUUAAUUAUGAUCUCGAUAUUCUGGAUAAUUUAUGAAUUUGUCCUUAUGUUAUUAUAUCUCAUUGUAAAAUUUAUGUGAUUUGUUGUGAUAUAUAUAUUGGUAAACAAGGCUUGCAAUACUUUUGGUAUCGGAUAUCCCUGGGGUGUUAGGAAUGAUUUUACUUGCCGAAUUGAUGGCUCACUUCUCGUCAUUACUUUUUGCAGAUUGAGUGACUUGUUGAGAGAUGUGCUUAUCUUUGGAGUUAGAGAUUAAUUUACUUUUGCUAGUUGAAUAAAAGAAGGACGAAUUUCUAUUUCUUUUAAGCUUGUUAGUCUUCUGAACUUGUAAUUGGAGAAUUUUGAAACUUUUGUUACAUUUAUGAUUUGGGAGAGAAAUGCCAAGUAUUUGACUUCUGGAUUUGUUGAUUUGUUUAAUAAAAUUUGAGAUAUUUCAGUUUGAGAUUUUGUGUGAGGAUUUCAAUAUGUAAGUAAUCUCCUACUAUCACGUGCUCCACACGUGUUAAAUUUGGAGUGUUACAAUUGUUAAGCUUUGCAUAUCCAAAUUGAUUAAGUUGAAAAAUAGGGUAAGAUGAUAGGAUUCUAGGGUUUUACUUAGAGAAUUCAAGAGAGAAAAGAUGAGGAAUUUAAGAAUUCAUAGGGGAGAGAGAAGAAUUAACAGGGGUUAGAAUUAAUUUUAUUAUUGCUUGCUUAAAAACAUAAUGAGAGCCACUUACUUAUAGUGGCUCAACACAUUCCUAAUUCUAAUCUAAUUAGAACCUUAAAUUAUAAUUGUAAUAAGAAAACCUAAUCCUAGUAGGAAAGAAAAAAUAAACCACUUGGGUUCUGUAGAGAUUUGAUUGAACUGCUAAUCUUAUAAAACCAAAACUCUGCCCAUGAUCUUUGACUAAGAUCAACAGAAGUAGCACACAAGCAAUAAAAUUGAACCAGAAUCUAUUCAAUAUCCUCUCAAAAGACUUAACCACUCAACAACAGAAAUUAAACAACAGAAAAGAAUGAAUCAGAAACAAAAUCACAGAGAGAGCAAGAGAUAACGUGGUCCAAUCUUUUUCAAGACUUACAUUCCCGAGUGAAAACAUCAGAGAUUGUUUUUUUGAUCGAUUCAACGAAGAAACUACAAGUACUCAGAAUUGAGGAUACAGAGCUUAAGAAUUAGUUUUCUCUCUCCAAGAUUCUCUCUCGAAUACUCUCGAAUCACUUCCCCAGGUGAGGUGCAAAACCAGCUUUAUAUUACAGGGGGAUAACAGAACAAUGAACCCAGAUAGCACAGCCCUCUUCCACGUGCCCAAGACCGUUAAAAGAACAGGGAUGCACUUAAGUGACCACGUGACUUAGCACGCGCAAUUUCUUGAAUCUGUUAUGAGUAAAACGCAAGCUUUAACGUCGUUUACAGUUAGUAAUCACGAGCUCCCUGACGUGACUUCAUAACGGAUUUAACCGAUGGCCCAAUACGCUGCCGUUUGCUCUGGUUUGUGUUUGAAUUCAUUGACUCUACAGGUUCUAAUAGAUUCUUUUGUUUCAAAAUGAAGAUUGAAGAUCAUCCACGGCAGUAGGAGAUUUAAGUUGGAAGACUUAUGGUGUUGACAGUCUUUUUGCUUUUAUUUCCAGAAUUUAUUUCCUUCUUUGCAAGUUGUGUUCUCUCAAGACUCGCAGCUCCGCCAAAUUCUGGCGUGAAGGCUUAUCACCUUCCUCUUUAAUGCAGGUUUGCAGCCCACAUCAGUCGCCAGUUGGAGUCAAAUUAAUGAAAAAUUUAGGGUCGUGUAAUUGGUCUCAUGCAUCCACAAAUUUGAUAAAUUUUAACUCACAAUGGGUAUAAACUUAUGGUGAUUUAAUAAGAAUGCAGUGAAGAAUUAAGAGAUAUUCAAGUGCCUGCAAUUGUGUUGGUUUCCCAAAUCCCAACCAAUCCAACAUUUCAGGAUAAGGCUUUUUGUUUAAAUUAAUAGCACAACGUGCCAGAGGGAUAGUCCAAAUUCUUGUUGCGUUCUCUCAACUCUCAAUUCUCAUGAUAUUAGUUAUAGCUUCGUAAAGAACAUUUGGCAACAUCAGAUGGAGGAAUCUGAAACAGAGAUGGCGUCAUUGCCCUAUGAUUGAGGCUUUGAAUUAACUCUUUCCCAGCAUGUUUCUUUGAUUCAUGAGGAUAUACAUUCUCUUUUUUUUUUCAUAAUACAUUAAUUAAAUCUUAUACAAAUGGAAGAAGGAAGCAAGAAAAGUAAAUCAAACAUUGAACAUGACAAGGUACAAGAAGCAAGCAAGUCUCAGGUAUCAAGCUUUCCUAGGCGACAACCAAGUUCAACAAAGCAAAGGUGAAGCAAGGCAAACAAGAAUUCAAGCCGCACGUCAUAGACUCACCAAGCUUCAACACAGUGAACAAAUCAAGGCUGCUUACCAGCAUUUGUUGUACAAGCAAACUUCUCAGUUUUAUGUCACAACAGAUGGUAUCUCGUGUUCUUGAGUAGAGAAGAUACAAUAAUAUUUACCAUUAGAAUCUGCUAUCAACUCUGUUAAAUCGAAUUUUCUCUAAUAUUUACCAUUAGAGUAGCAAAGCUAUUAACAUCUCAAUUUUCUCUGAAUGCUCCAUGAGAAUGGUAUUUAUGUUAUGAUCCAACUCAAACCUGGCAAGAGGAUAUUGCCUGUUUUGAGCCUUAACAAGGCCGCAUGGUUUUGUUUCUAGGACACCCAUACAUCCUAAAACGCAUAUUAUCAAUAAAGGUGUGGAUCAGCUCUUAUAAACCCAACAUCUCUCUUGUACUUUGUCGAUGUGAGAUUUGUCUUGGGUGUUACAAUUCAGGUGCCAUUAAUCCAAAUUUGGCGAUUGUGUGAAGUACUCUUAUGCGUAUUUUAACCUCUGAAACAAAAACUGGUGACAUGGAGGUAUUACAUGCAUUGUCAUUAAAUUAAUAUAAGCGCUAAUCUCAAAGUAUGUGUUGUAUGCAUGUUCUUAAUGUGGCUCACAUUCAUGAGUUUGAGAUUAAUUAAGACUACUCACAUUUUUAUGAUUAGAUAAUGAUAAGAAUAGUUGUUCCAUAUUUCUAAAAAAUUAAGAUAAGGAUAAUUUCUCAUUUUCUUGAUGGAGGGAAGUGAAUGAAGUCCGUUAAAUAGACUAAGGGUCCUUAGCCUAGCCUACAUAUGACUUUCCGUGAGAAUUACCCAUCGAAUUAAAGGCUAUAUAGAGGAAUAGACUAGAAAAUUCUAACCAUUUUUUAGAUUAACUUAAAUAAUAAUGACUGGAGGUAGAGGUACGUAACUUAUUUAAGUUUAUAAUCUAAAAUAUAUUUGGAAAAAUGCUUUUUUCAUCCCUAAGGUUUGAAAUAGCCUAUUUUAUCCUUACUAUUUAAAUAAUAGUCUAUUUCAUCCCUAUUUUUUAAGCAAUAGCCUGAAACACCAUUUCAUUAAUUUACUGUUAUUAUACUGUAUAAUUCAUUGAGGGCAAAAUAAGAUUUCUAAAUAAUGAUCAAUUAUUUUAAAAUAAACUCUCAAACACAAAUAAAAAAUAUAUGUCUUUCUAUAUAAAUUUAAAAUUUAAGGAUUACUUAAGAAAGAAAAAAAUAACAUUAAAUAAUAUGUAAAAUAUACAUUUAGGACAAAAAACAAACCAUAGAUUUCACAAGCACUAGAUUAUUUUUUUUAUCCUUUAGCUUAUUCUUAACUUUAAUAUGGUCGAAAUAAAUAAAUAAAUAAAUGAUCAAUCAGUACUGUUAUUAUACCAAAAGUAAUUAUGGACUCCUUUAUUUACUUAAAAAAAAAUACACACUAAAUACAUAACAAACUACAUUUCAAAAUACUGCAGAAUAAAAUAUAAUGCAUUGGAUUUUUUUUUUUUAAUCUUUUAGCUUAUUCUUGACCUUAAUAUAAACAAUGAUUCUUGAUGAAAAGAAUUAUUAUUAUUAUUAUUUUGUUAACUUUAUUAAAAAAAGAAUUUAAUGAACACAUGUGUGUGUGUGUGUGUGCGUGUGUGUGUGUGUGUUGCAUAUUCUUUAGUAUUAUUUUUGUUUCAUUAAGUUAUACUUAAAUUUUAAAUUUAUGCAAAAAAGUCAAAUGUUAUUCAAUUAUUCUUGAGAUUUUUAUUUUAAAAAGCUUUAUAUACUUAUUUAACUAAAAAAUUUUAUUUUACUCUCAAUGAAUUUCAGAGUAAACUAAUUAUAAAUUCACGGAAAGAUAUUUUAAGCUAUUAUUUGAAAAAUAAGAAUGAAACGAAUUAUUUUUAAAAAAAUAAGGAUAAAAUAAGCUAUUAUCUUAAACCCUAAGGAUGAAAAUAGCUUUUUUCUAAUAUAUUUCUAUAUAUAUUUUUAAGCUACAGAACGGAUGAUGUGAUGCAUAUGUACGUGCCUCUAUUCAGCAAAUUCAGAGAAGCAUUAUUGCAAAGUCAACAGUUAACUGUUCAAAGUCAGCGGACAAUUAUGAAAAUUUCUAAUUUCAAUGGCAGCAAAGUCGGGGGAAAAUUAAUUGUUCAAAAUCAAUAUAUAAACAUGGUGGCCCUAGAUAAGAAGAUAACAUGCACGAUAAGGAUAAACAAUUACCCUAAUCUUUCUUUUGUGGACAUGUUAAUAAAAUAAAGACAGAUUGUGAAAGAGGACGUAUCUAUAGAUGGUUGAUUCAGAACUUAAUUAAGAUCAUUCAUUAUAUUUAUUUUUAAUUGAGACAGAGCCUCUCAUGUUGGCGUUAAUAUGUAGACAAGUAUGAAUCUGAUGCGUAAUAGUACAUUUGCAAGUUUGUUUAAUUAAUUGUUAAGUUGAAAUAUAAAACAAGUCUUCCCCAAUCAACCACGAAGAAUUAAGACGCAUUUAGUUUUUUAAUCUGAAAUUUAAAAUCAGUCUGAAUUUGAUGGAAGUCUUAACUGAUGGUUUGAAUACAAAUAUCUGUAUGAUAUGUUUUUUUUUUAAUAUCUAAAUAUAAUUGACAUUAUUUUUGUUUCUAUAACUAAAAAAAUCUUAAAUAUGGUGUUUAACAUUUAUAUCCUUGUAAGUUAAAAUGAAUAAAGGGAUUAGGUUUUAUAGUUUAACAAAUAAGUAUAUUUAAUAGAAAUGUUUUGGGAUAUAAUAUUUAUUUAUUCAUGCCUUUUCUUAUUUAGAUAAAAGUCACAAAAGUUUAGUCUUUUUUUUUUUAAUUCAAAUGUAAAUGUUUGAAAAUCAGAUAUAAAUUAAAAAAAUAAACGAGCAAUUUAAAAAAAAAUCAAAUUAAAAAAAAUCAAAUUUUAGACAUUUAACCAACAAGCCUCCAUUUCAUCUUGGUCAAUGAGAGUCGUUGGCUACCACGAAAUUUCUGAUCCCUGUCUAGUAUGGGCGUGCCAUGAAUUAACCCAAGCGUUUUAAUUUUUGCCUUAAAAAAAUUUCCAUUCUCUGCUCUAGAAAAUUGAAAAAAAAAAGAAAAGUAAAACAUAGUUCACGUUGGUAUUAUUAUUAUAUUAGCAUUAUAAACAUCUCAACCGUUUAUUCGCUAACGCAGUAUCAAUCACCAUCGGUUGUUCUUCUACUGAUUAAAAUACAGAUUUAAGAGCAAAGCAAUUUGAAUGCUUGUAAUUGUUACUCUUGUAUCCAAUUUUCCCCAGGAAUUACAGGAUCAACAAUCCCAUCAAACAUAUUACUUUCAACUUGUCUUUAACUGGGGAAAGCAUUAAUAAAUUAUCAGGACAAGCUUCUUAUAAGUAAAUUUCUGCCCAAACAAAACAUCAAGUAACGACAUCUACCAAAACUAUAAACAUCAUAGUUCUCUCAUUUUCAAUAAAAUGUGUUUUAUUUUGUUUGGGUAAACGUAUACCAAAACUACAUUUUCAAUAAAAUGUGUGGUUACCAUUUUGUUCUAUACUACAUUUUCAUUUUGUGUGGUUACCAUUUUUCCACGGCAAGAUUACAUGGAUGUUGAUUGUAUGAUUUUCUUUAUCCAUGCUCUGCAUUGUUGCGUGUUUGGGAUUCGCCGGCGAAGACUUUUCUUGGCUUUUCUUGACUAAAUGCUCUGCAUUUAGUCAUCUCUCAAAAUGUCAUAUCCUAACACAUAAUCAACGCUCAGACUGAAGACUUUUCUUGGCUUCAAUAAUUGAUGCAGAUUAUACACAGUAGUAUAAAUUGGCAUGGAGUCCAGGAGUUUCGAUAUAACAAUAUAUCCUCAAAGCUAAUGAUAAUUAUAAUGUCAUCCAAAUUGUUCCUUCUAUUUGAAAAUAUAGCUCUGUUUUCUGUGUUGUUUUUUCAAUUGAAGCCCACAAUUGCUGAUUCUAACAAAAAAACGAUAAAGUGCAUUGAUGAGGAGAGAGAAGCGCUUCUCACUUUUAAACGGAGCUUGGUGGAUGAACAUGGCGUUCUGUCUUCCUGGGGAAGAGAAGAUGACAAAAGAGAUUGCUGUAAAUGGAGAGGAGUCCACUGUAGCAACACAACUGGCCAUGUCAAGGUGCUUAAUCUUCGAACAUCCGACGAGGAAAACGCUCAGCGGAAGGCCUUGAAAGGUGAAAUUAGUCCUGCUUUGCUUGAAUUGCAUGAUAUAAGACAUUUGGACCUUAGUAACAAUCACUUCAGUGCAAGCCCAGUUCCUGAGUUCAUUGGUUCCCUCAGCAAAUUGAGGUACCUCAAUCUCUCUUGUAGCAUACCUUUAGAACUCCCUCGUACAUUGCGGAACUUUUCAGGAUUGGAAUAUCUCAACCUGGAAAACUCUCAUUUAUUUAGCGUGGGAAGCUUAGAGUGGCUUUCUCGUCUUUCUUCUUUAAGACACCUUGACCUGAGUUACAUUAAUCUCACUAAAUCUAGAGAUUGGUUUCAAGUAGUUGCCAAGCUCCGUUCCCUAAAAACAUUAGUCCUACGCUCGUGUGCUCUUCCACCUAUCAAUCCAUCGUUUAUUUGGCACUUCAAUUUGAGUACGUCUAUUGAGACCCUUGAUCUUGCUGACAACAAUCUCCCUUCUUCUUCAGUAUACCCUUGGCUUUUCAAUCUUAGUCGGAAUAUGCUUCAUCUUAACCUUGGCUCUAAUUCAUUACGAGGUUCAAUUCCAGAGGCUUUUCAACACAUGGUUUCUCUUAAAAGUCUUUGUCUCUCUGCUAGUGAACUUGAAGGUGGGAUUCCAAAAUUCUUUGGAAACAUGUGUAGCUUAAAAAAGUUUGGCUUGCCUUACAACAAACUCAGUGGACAAUUCUCACAGGUAAUUCAAAAUCUGUCUUGUGGAUGCGUGGUGAAUUCACUAGAGGGGCUAUAUUUACAUGAUAAUGACUUCACGGGGCCAGUACCUCAUCUUGGAGGAUUUUCAUCCUUGGAAGCAUUGAAGCUUGACAUUAAUCGUUUGAAUGGAACUAUAAACGAAAGCCUCAGCCGCUUGUUCAAGCUUAAGACUCUGUCAUUUGAUAGGAAUUCAUUCACAGGAGUUAUCUCUCAAACCUUUUUUUCUAAUAUGUCCAACUUGCAGGAGUUGUUUUUAGCUGAUAACUCUUUGACUCUGAAAUUGAGUGAUGAUUGGGUUCCUCCCUUUCAACUGAAACGUUUAAGUAUCGCCUCUUGCAAGAUGGGACCUCAUUUUCCAAAAUGGCUUCAAACUCAGAAUCAACUUGUGCAUCUUCACAUCGCCAAUGUUGGAAUCUCAGACACUACUCCUGAUUGGUUCUGGGAUCUGUCCAGUAAACUCUCGUACUUAAAUCUCUCUAACAAUCAUAUCAAUGGUAAACUUCCCGAUUUGUCUUUAAGGUUUAAUGGUACUCGUAUUGGUGGUACUUGUAUAGACAUCAAUUCAAACCACUUUGAGGGCCCAAUUCCACCACUUCCUUCAAAUUCGCCGUUCUUAAAUCUCUCUAAAAAUAAGUUCAUAGGGCCAGUUACUUUCUUAUGUUCUAUCAGUGAAAACACAUGGAACUUUUUAGAUCUCUCGAGUAACUUAUUGUCUGGAGAACUUCCUGAUUGUUGGUUGCACUUUGAUAGCCUAUUCGCUCUUAACUUGGCAAAUAAUAGCUUCUCAGGAAAAAUACCAGACUCGAUGGGUUUCCUAAAUAGCAUCCGGACACUGAAUUUACACAACAAUAGGUUAACCGGGGAAUUGCCUUCAUCUUUAAGGAAUUGCUCCCAACUGAGAGUUUUGGAUCUCGGGAAGAACACAUUUUUUGGUGAGAUACCAACGUGGAUAGGGGAAAGUCUACAAAAUUUGAUUGUUCUUAGCCUAAAAUCUAACAAAUUUCAUGGAAAUAUACCUUAUCAAUUGUGCCAUCUGGGAUUUAUUCAAGUCUUGGAUCUUUCUUUUAACAAUAUAUCAGGAAAGAUACCAACGUGUUUCAAUAAUUUUUCAGCCAUGACCUAUGAAAGAUGUUCCAAUCCUACCAUUGGGUUCGGCAAAUACAUCUUAGUUCCCCCUAGAACUGGAUACUACUAUAAAUAUUUGGUCAAUUUACUGUUGACUUGGAAAGGAAGUGAAAAUGAGUACAAAAGUACUUUGGGACUGGUAAAGUGCCUUGACCUUUCGAGUAACAAAUUAGGUGGAGCAAUUCCUGAAGAGAUUAUGGAUCUUGUGGGGCUGAUUGCCUUAAACCUUUCAAGAAACAAUUUAACUGGACCAAUCACUCCGAAGAUUGGUGAGUUAACAUCAUUGGAUUUCCUGGAUUUGUCUAGAAAUCUGUUUUCUGGAAGUAUUCCAUCUAGCCUCUCUCAGUUAAGUGGUCUUGGUGUCUUGGACUUGUCGUACAACAACUUGUCAGGAAAAAUCCCAUUAGGCACUCAGCUCCAGAGUUUCAAUGCUUCAGUGUACGCUGGAAAUCUUGAACUUUGUGGCCUUCCACUCGCAAAUAAGUGUCCGAAUGAAGAAUCCACUCCAUGUCCAGGCAGAAAUGAUGGUGCAAACACUCUUGAGGAUGAGGAUGAUCAGUUUAUGACUCUUGGAUUUUACGUGAGCUUGAUUCUUGGUUUCUUUGUUGGAUUCUGGGGAGUCUGCGGAACUUUAAUGCUGAAUAGGUCGUGGAGACAUGGUUACUUCAACUUCCUGACUAGUAUGAAAGAUUGGGUCUAUGUGACAGCAGCUGUGAAUAUUGCCAAACUGCAAAGAAAGUUUAGGAACUAACUAAACGGUAAUACUCCUUAACAUUGGGUUUCAGUCAUUGUUGUCAGCUCACGUGCUUUUAAUUUCUUCAUCCUUAAAUUUUACUUUUUUCAGCUUUUGUUCCGCUAACUAAUUGUUCAUCUUUUUUUUUUUUUCAUUCACCAUCUUUUUGGCAGGGUAUCUUUCUGAAAAUAUAUUUGGAAUCUUUCUGAAAAUUAACUCAUAUGAUGCACAUUGUAUUUUUGAGUAUAUGCUUAAAGAAACUUGUAUGUGGUUCUCCUUAGACCAUCGUCGAUCUAUGCGUUUAUAUACUCUUGUUAGAGUUCAAUUAUGCUAUUAAUCCAUUACAGCAAUAAAGGCAGUCAAAUUCUGCUCUGCUAUUGAUCAAUGUUUGCUCUUUUUUCCUUUUCAUUGGGUGAAUAAAUAAUAAGAGACAAAUCGAAUCUUUCUAUUUAAAGAGUUGUUAACUAAUAAAACUACUAAAUGGAUGAUAAAAUUAAUUAAUUAAGCUAGAAUAAUCUUAUUAACAAAGUAGGUGGUAGGUUCGUAUGAUUCCGGAUCACUGGUACUAAAAUGUGAAGGAAGAGAUCGAACUUUACAAGAAUUUGUUCUUACUGUAUUCGAACUGGUAAUUGAUUAAAUUUGAUUAAAUUUCUAUGAUGGUGACAUAUAAUGAUGAUGAUCAAAGACUUAAAUAUUAUUUUCAGAGAAGACUAUUGACUUGAAUGCAGACUCAGUAAUAUUAUUGAAUAUCACACAAGACUUUUCUAUCCUAAUUUUUAGCAAUUUUCCAAACGUAUCAUCACAUUCAAGACCCAGCUGACUCUAUAAUUUAACUAACGUGUUACUAACGCACAUUAAUAUUACAUCGCAUUUUCACUGCCAUGGCCAAUUUCAGCGUUUCUCAUCAUUACUCUCUAUUUUGGCAAGUAUGGUAGGAAUCUUUAAAACAGCGUACAAGAAUCAAGGGGAAGAAAUAAGAAACUGUAAAGGAACAUAAGUGGGAUAUAUAGUUUGUGGGAGCAUUCAAUUCAGUUCAUGGGGGCAUAAGCUUAAAUAAUUGAUGCAAUUUUAAGAGGUGUUUUUUCCCCCCUUGUACAAGGUUGCACACAACAGUGGUGAAUAAUAUUGCCAAAUUGCAACAAAGCUGCAGGGGCUAAAAGUUAAGUGUGUGAAUAUAUAUUAUUGCCAAAUUGUUAAGACUUAUAGUUUACCAAACUUUUGUCUAAUUGAUUUUUCUAAGGACAACGUUAGGUGUUGGUUGUUUUUUAAUCUGAAGUCUGAAUUUAACUUUUUUUUAGAUAUUUACUUAUUUUAGUAUAUUUAUUUUUUUAACUUGUCACUUAUCGUCAAACAAUUUUAUCUGAAUAAAAAAAGUAGAAAAAAUCCACUUUUAUCUGAAGUCUGAAAUCUAAAUGAAAAAUUUUAAUUUCAAAUCUCAAAAAUAGCCUUAACAAUUCAUGUAUUUCCAAUAUUAUGUAUAAAACCUAAUAUUUUUGUAUUAUCCUAAGUUUUCUUUUUAAUUGCUUUAAAUUUUUAUUCAUAUGGUAACAUCAACUAGACUAAAAUAUGGAACAAAUUAAAUUAUGUCAAUUGUGAUGAAUCAAAAAUAAAACAACACUAUUGACUUUAUAAUGAAAAUUGAUGUUAUAAUUACAUCUUUUAUUACAAAAUUAAAUUAAAAUCAAUAGUGAUAGUAUUUUUUAUAAUGCUACCAAACUAAUCAACUUAUAAAAAUUAUAAACUAUAAAAAUAAAUAUAUGCAUUAUUUAAAAAGAUAUUUAUGUUAAAUUAUUAACUUUUAAACUUUUCUAUUCAGAUGUUGAAAAAAGAAAAACAAACAUGUCAUUUAAAUAUUUUUAUUCAGACCUAUUUAAACUUCAAUUAAAUUCAAACUUAUUCAAAUUUCAGAUGAAAAAACAAACACGACCUUAGUACUAAGUAAGUAGGGCCAAUUGCCCUUACUUGAUUAGAACAAGCCGUCGUAAAUUGUAUUCAUUAUUUAAGUGUCUGUCCCUAUGAAAUGAAUUGAAACACCCCCAUGAGUUGAAGAAUUUAAGCUCGUACCCUUGUGAACCUUAAUUGGAAUGCCCCAUGAGUUGAAGUUGCCAUCCCUUAAAUUGAAUUCAUUAUUAAGUUGCCAUUGUAAACUGACUUUUGUCUAUGAUUAUUUCGUCGGCCCACAAACAAUUGAUAAUUACAUAAGCAGCGCGCAACAAUCACACACUGGGCCUAAGAAUGAAGCUUGCUUUGUUUGAAAAAAAGAAAAUGCUAAUAGAAACAAGAUAAAUUUAGUACCAAUUUAUUCACUUAUUUAUUUUUUUAAAUAAACCAACACCAAUUUACUCUGUUUCUAUCAGCGCUAAUCAUCAUUUUGUUUGCUUACAAUUAUUGUCAUGGACUCCAGGAUUUUGGAUAUAACAAUAUAUCCUGAAUACCAAUGAUAAUUACAAUACAUUAUAAUGCAACUUAACAUCACCCCAUUUUCAUAGAAGACCAUUGAUUUGAAUGAAUACUCUGUUGUUGACUCAAGACUGUUAACUUAAUGAUUUCUUGUUCUUUCUUGAGCAUGCAUUACCACCCAUGUGCUUCAAUUUCAACCCUGUGAUUGUCUUGCCAACUGAUCAUCACAAACGGGUCCUCUUCUGAAUUCAUAAGUUGCAGUAUUUUGAAUUACAAGUCUCCUGUCAUCAAGUCUCCAUUCAGAUAUUUGAUUGAACCCCAAGCUGAAUUCUUCAAACACCCUGCUCAUCUUAACUGUUAAACAAUAAAUUUUCAUUGGAAUUAAUUACAAGUUACUAAUUAAGUAUUUCUAUCAAAAACUAUUUAAAAUAAUUGAGGAACUUAUCCUCCUCUGCAAUAUGCGCUUGCAGCCAUACCAAUCACUUCUGAAAGUCGCAUAAGAAAAAUAAUGUGUGUUAAUCCAUGACAGCAGCCUCAUCCGAUUUGAAUAUGGCAUCAUCAUAUCUUAAAUAGAUAAUAUUAUGAUCUUUAUACGACAGAAUAUAUGACAUUUUAACUCAAUAAAUUGCAAACAAAAGUAUGGAGACAAGUAUAUUUAUUAAGAAGACAAUUAAUAACCAUUUUAUUAAAGGGUUAAAAGGCAUGUAAGUACUUUUAAGGCAUGUAUUUUCACAGAAACCAUCUUUCUUCUAUCAUCUCUCAUCUUUUCACCUUUUCAUUAUUUUCCCAUUCUUCAAAAUUUCUCUCUUCUAUAUUUCUCAAAUUAUGGUGUAUAUAUGUCAAAGGCAUGUAUUUUCUGAUUUAAGGGGCUGCUGGAAUUAGGAAUAUAGCUUGUACUCUUAUAGGUUGUUGGAAAUUAUCAAAAGCCACAGAGCAGGCAGAAAGUCAAUGAAGCCAUUGGAUUGGAUUGCUAUUGCAUAUUAAGCUCCUGUUGCUGCAGCUACUGCUACUUUUUAAAAUCCACUCAAUUGGUCAAGAAAUUUUUUCAGAUGCUCCUAAAAAUAUUUAUAUAUAUAAUAUGUUUGACUUAAGAUUAUACUCCAAACUGAGAACCAAUACACAGUUAAACAAAAAGGUUUUCUUUCAGCUUUAGUUUUUAUAACUCCAUCCUUGACGCACUAGAUUAAAUCACUAACUUUCAUACAAACUACAAAAGAGAAGUGCAUGCAAUUGUAUCACAAAAUCCAUAAAGUGUGUCAACACGAAAACAUUUAGAGAAAUUGGAUUAUUAAUUUUCAACAGAGAGUAUUAGAAUUUUUGCAGCGUCAAGAUCAGAACCAAACUAGAUGACAGAUACAAUAAGGCAAGUGGUGAAGAAAUAGCACGAAGACACUCAGAAAAAGCAAAUUUAAAUUUGACGAGCUCCAGAUGCUUAACCUAAAAAUAACAAAGAUAUUGCAGGUUUAUAUAAUAGGAAAGAUGACACAGAAAAAGCAUGGAAAAGCUCACAGCUCCGUUGAAAACCGAAAAUCCAGCAUUGGCUUGCAGCCACGCUCAGUCUCGUCCUGAAAUCAGACCGAAUUCUGGGUAUGUGUAAAACAGGACAGCAGCCUCAUCCAAUUAUGUUCACCUAUAAACAAUAUGAAGUCAUACGACGUUUUUGUCUAUAAAUGAGAAAAAUAAAGUACUAUUGAUCUUUUGAGAAACAUAAUUCUUUUUUUUUUUUUUUUUGGCUAAGAAACAAAUCUUUUGAGAAACAUAAUGAUAAUUCGAAAUGAAAAAUAGAUACGAACAAUUAAGUGGAAAAUUUAAUUUGUGAGUGCAUUUCAAUUCAGUUUAUGGGGGCAUAAGCUUAACUGAUGGGUGUAAUUUUAAGAGUCUUUUCUCUUAAUCAACCAGCAUGAAUAAUAUUGCCAAAUUGUUAAUACUUAUAGUUUACCAAACAUGUGCCUAACUACAUUUUUGUCUAAUUGAUUAUUUAAAAGGAUGGAGCUAGUAUUAGGCAAGUGGGGGCAGUUGCUCUCGCUUGAUUAAAACAGCCGAUAAAUUGCAUUCAUUAUUUAAGUCUCUAUCCACGUGAAUCUAAAAAUUCUAUUAAAAAACUUCUAUUUUUUUAACGAUAAUUUAAAAAGACUACCAAGAAAUUUCUUUUCCAAAGGCAUAUUUACCUGAACGAAGACUUGUUGAGAAGGACAAGGUUUAGCUACUCCAAUGCAGAAUAUAAAACACAAGAGGCUAGACUUAACAAUAUAUCCUCAAUACCAAUGAUAAUUACAAAAUCAUUUUCAGAGACCUUGUUAACUUACAUUAUAAUGUAACUUAACACCACCUCAUUUUCUGAGAAGAUUAUUGACUUGAAUGAAGAAUCUGUUGUUGACUCAAGACUAUAGACCUGAAUGAAUUCUCGAUCUUUCUUGUGCAUGAAUUACCGCCUCAAUAAUUCAAUUUCAACCCUCUGAUUGUUUUGCCUACUGACCAUCACAAAAGGGUCCUCUGAAUUGACAAGUUGCAGUAUUUUGAAUUACAAGUCUCCUGUCUUCACUUCCCCAUUCAGACAUUUGAUCGAACACCAAGCUAAAUUCUUCAAACACCCUGCUAAUCUUAACUCUUAAAAUGUUCUGAUUGAAUUUUAAAUGGCAGUAAAUUUUUCACUGUAGUUAAUUACAAGUUACUAAUUAAGUAUUUCCAUAUUAGUUAAUUGUAUGAAAAUAAUCGAUGAACUUAUCCUCCUCUGGAAUUAUGAAUCUAGAUUGUACUCUUAUAGGUAUCGGAAAUAAUCAAAAGCCACAGAGCAAGAAGAAAGUCAUUGAAGCCCUUGGAUUGGAUUGCUGCUAUUGCAUAUUAAGCUCCUGCUGCAGCAGCUAGUGCUAUUUUUUAAAUCUACUCAAUUGGUCAAGAAAGUUUUUCGGAUGCUUCUAAAAAUAUUUAUAUGUAUAAUAUCUUUGACUUAAGAUUGUACUCCAAGCUGAGAACCAAGACACAGUUAAACAAAAAAGUUUUCUUUCUGUGUUAGUAUUUAUAAAUUCAGACCUUGACACACUAGACUAAAUCUCUAACUUUCAUACAAACUACAAAAGAUAAGUCCAUGCAAUUGCGUCACACAAUCCAUAAGUAUGUCAUCACAAAAACCUGUAGAGAAAUUGGAUUAUUAAUUUUCAACAGAGAGCAUCUGAAUUUUUGCAGCUUUUACAGCAUCGAGAUUCAG
rnacentral:lncRNA from 1 species